rnacentral:rRNA from 1 species
UGUGAGCUCGAUGAGUAGGGCGGGACACGUGGUAUCCUGUCUGAAUAUGGGGGGACCAUCCUCCAAGGCUAAAUACUCCUGACUGACCGAUAGUGAACCAGUACCGUGAGGGAAAGGCGAAAAGAACCCCGGCGAGGGGAGUGAAAAAGAACCUGAAACCGUGUACGUACAAGCAGUGGGAGCACGCUUAGGCGUGUGACUGCGUACCUUUUGUAUAAUGGGUCAGCGACUUAUAUUCUGUAGCAAGGUUAACCGAAUAGGGGAGCCGAAGGGAAACCGAGUCUUAACUGGGCGUUAAGUUGCAGGGUAUAGACCCGAAACCCGGUGAUCUAGCCAUGGGCAGGUUGAAGGUUGGGUAACACUAACUGGAGGACCGAACCGACUAAUGUUGAAAAAUUAGCGGAUGACUUGUGGCUGGGGGUGAAAGGCCAAUCAAACCGGGAGAUAGCUGGUUCUCCCCGAAAGCUAUUUAGGUAGCGCCUCGUGAAUUCAUCUCCGGGGGUAGAGCACUGUUUCGGCAAGGGGGUCAUCCCGACUUACCAACCCGAUGCAAACUGCGAAUACCGGAGAAUGUUAUCACGGGAGACACACGGCGGGUGCUAACGUCCGUCGUGAAGAGGGAAACAACCCAGACCGCCAGCUAAGGUCCCAAAGUCAUGGUUAAGUGGGAAACGAUGUGGGAAGGCCCAGACAGCCAGGAUGUUGGCUUAGAAGCAGCCAUCAUUUAAAGAAAGCGUAAUAGCUCACUGGUCGAGUCGGCCUGCGCGGAAGAUGUAACGGGGCUAAACCAUGCACCGAAGCUGCGGCAGCGACACUAUGUGUUGUUGGGUAGGGGAGCGUUCUGUAAGCCUGCGAAGGUGUGCUGUGAGGCAUGCUGGAGGUAUCAGAAGUGCGAAUGCUGACAUAAGUAACGAUAAAGCGGGUGAAAAGCCCGCUCGCCGGAAGACCAAGGGUUCCUGUCCAACGUUAAUCGGGGCAGGGUGAGUCGACCCCUAAGGCGAGGCCGAAAGGCGUAGUCGAUGGGAAACAGGUUAAUAUUCCUGUACUUGGUGUUACUGCGAAGGGGGGACGGAGAAGGCUAUGUUGGCCGGGCGACGGUUGUCCCGGUUUAAGCGUGUAGGCUGGUUUUCCAGGCAAAUCCGGAAAAUCAAGGCUGAGGCGUGAUGACGAGGCACUACGGUGCUGAAGCAACAAAUGCCCUGCUUCCAGGAAAAGCCUCUAAGCAUCAGGUAACAUCAAAUCGUACCCCAAACCGACACAGGUGGUCAGGUAGAGAAUACCAAGGCGCUUGAGAGAACUCGGGUGAAGGAACUAGGCAAAAUGGUGCCGUAACUUCGGGAGAAGGCACGCUGAUAUGUAGGUGAAGUCCCUCGCGGAUGGAGCUGAAAUCAGUCGAAGAUACCAGCUGGCUGCAACUGUUUAUUAAAAACACAGCACUGUGCAAACACGAAAGUGGACGUAUACGGUGUGACGCCUGCCCGGUGCCGGAAGGUUAAUUGAUGGGGUCAGCGCAAGCGAAGCUCUUGAUCGAAGCCCCGGUAAACGGCGGCCGUAACUAUAACGGUCCUAAGGUAGCGAAAUUCCUUGUCGGGUAAGUUCCGACCUGCACGAAUGGCGUAAUGAUGGCCAGGCUGUCUCCACCCGAGACUCAGUGAAAUUGAACUCGCUGUGAAGAUGCAGUGUACCCGCGGCAAGACGGAAAGACCCCGUGAACCUUUACUAUAGCUUGACACUGAACAUUGAGCCUUGAUGUGUAGGAUAGGUGGGAGGCUUUGAAGUGUGGACGCCAGUCUGCAUGGAGCCGACCUUGAAAUACCACCCUUUAAUGUUUGAUGUUCUAACGUUGACCCGUGAUCCGGGUUGCGGACAGUGUCUGGUGGGUAGUUUGACUGGGGCGGUCUCCUCCUAAAGAGUAACGGAGGAGCACGAAGGUUGGCUAAUCCUGGUCGGACAUCAGGAGGUUAGUGCAAUGGCAUAAGCCAGCUUGACUGCGAGCGUGACGGCGCGAGCAGGUGCGAAAGCAGGUCAUAGUGAUCCGGUGGUUCUGAAUGGAAGGGCCAUCGCUCAACGGAUAAAAGGUACUCCGGGGAUAACAGGCUGAUACCGCCCAAGAGUUCAUAUCGACGGCGGUGUUUGGCACCUCGAUGUCGGCUCAUCACAUCCUGGGGCUGAAGUAGGUCCCAAGGGUAUGGCUGUUCGCCAUUUAAAGUGGUACGCGAGCUGGGUUUAGAACGUCGUGAGACAGUUCGGUCCCUAUCUGCCGUGGGCGCUGGAGAACUGAGGGGGGCUGCUCCUAGUACGAGAGGACCGGAGUGGACGCAUCACUGGUGUUCGGGUUGUCAUGCCAAUGGCACUGCCCGGUAGCUAAAUGCGGAAGAGAUAAGUGCUGAAAGCAUCUAAGCACGAAACUUGCCCCGAGAUGAGUUCUCCCUGACCCUUUAAGGGUCCUGAAGGAACGUUGAAGACGACGACGUUGAUAGGCCGGGUGUGUAAGCGCAGCGAUGCGUUGAGCUAACCGGUACUAAUGAACCGUGAGGCUUAACCUU